UAGAGUCAAAGCUUUCCUCCUUUUUUCUGGUCCUAAAAUUUGAUCUUGUCUGUUUUCCAUCCUCUGUUAUUGCUGCAUAAUAAAAGAAGUAAUUUGUAUAAACAUGGGAGUUUCUCAUUGUUUGCUUUAUGCAACAUAAAAUUUCCUAGGUUGAAGGUUACUUGGAUGUGACAUGGCCAGCUUCAAGCUAUUAUAGCUCAUAUAUCAUGUAGAAAUUACACCAGGAAGUUUUGGCAGAGGGUAUGCAUUAGAGUCUAUGUAUAACAUUCACUGAAACCAUAUUGUCUGAUCUUGCAAAUGUAAUAAUGGAAAAUUGUUCCUUGAAGCUUGCUUACCCCUGGACUAGCAACAGAAGAAAGUGAAAAGGAAAAGGAGACACUUGUUGAAAUGUAACCAUAACCUGGAGUGGAAUUUAAAACAUGUUAGUUAUCAUAACUGGAAUUCCAGCACCCUAAAGGCUUACUCCUUUUCUCCUUUUGUUUUAAAUGAAAAACAAAAAAAAAAAGAUAAAUACAGCAAUAAAAAUAGAUACCAGGUUAGUGCUGUCUGAUGAUUGAGAUUUUUAUAGAGAGCAUUUUAUCUUUCUAAGCACAUUAAGUAAAUCAGAAUUAUUUCCAGAUGAUUGCAUGUUUUGGGGACCACUAUACAGUGGCAUGCAUCCUCAGGCAUUGCAUUCUUUAAAAGCAAAAUGCAAGAGCUUUUUUUUUUCCUCAUUUAAAGAAAAGUUAAGACACUUAAAUUUUGUUUUUGUUCAGGUGAUUGUUACCAUUAUAAAAUCAAUAGCUAUUAGACAUCUGAACCUCUGACAGCUCAGGUAUUCAGGAAAUCUAUCCUAACAUGCCCUUUUCAAUCUAGUACACAUGGGUAGCUAAGUCGAAAACAAUUCAGAAAAUUGUCAUUAACUGAGAAUGGAGAUUGAAUAUUCAUUUGAGUUGUUUUUGCUACUGCAGGUUAAUUGUACAAACCUAAUAAUGACAAAGAAAAAGAGAGUUUUCAUUUUUAAAAUGUCUCACUGAAAGUCCGCAUUUCCGUGUUGUUUUGUUUUUUAAACUAAGGACAGCUAAUGUGCAUUUCUGAAAUCCUUCAACGAGUGAUUGGAUUUCCAGCUUAAUAGGGGGCGCCAGUAGGAUGCAGGCUAUUCUGUACUCCUCUUACUGGAAUACUUGAGCGUCUAAGCUCUUCAAUGACUAAAAUGAAGUGACUGAUAACACUUUUUUUCUUUCCAAAGCAAAGCAGUCCUCAUUUAUAGCUGCCCUCCCCCCACAUGGCAAGCUGAGCGGGUUCACCUAGAAGUAGAUGAAAGGGCAUAAUAAUAGUUUUGCUCCAUUCAUAGUAAGAAUUCUCAACAAAUGUAUUUCAUUCUGUGUGUGUGUGUGUAUGUGUGUGUGUGUGUGUGUGUGUAUGGUUGCUCUGUUCAAGAAUCUACAGUUGGGCAGGUAGUAAAACUAUGAAACUGAAUACAGCCUCCAACUUUAGACUUGUGAGAAUAUUUCUAUUUCUCCGUCAACAACAAGAUCCAUAGAAAUAAGGUUCAAAAGUAUCAUCAUGAUAACACUGAAAUUUUGGUGCUUAGGCUGUUAGGAGACCAAGAGAGGAAAUAUGAAAAAUUUCAGACUUCCUGUAUGUAAACAGUGAUAGUAGAGCUUGGCACAGUGGCCAAGCUUAGCAUUCCUUUUAAAAUGAAAGUCGCUCCCCUCUUUUAGUAAGACAGCUGUACUAUUGAUUUAUUUAAAUGGCUAAAAUGUAAUUUUCAGCUUAGAUCUCCCUGCAUGGAAGAUUUCAGUUUUCAUGAAGCAGCCCAGGCUCAAUUGUAAGCGGAUAUAUCCCUUUAAUAGGGUAAUUACUAACUUGUCUAGACUUGUUUUCAAACGAUUGUUAUGAGCACUCAGUUUCCACUAAUUGCAAAAUUGCUGCUUAAUUGAAAGACUCUCAAUCAUCUAGUGAAGCAAUUCAGACCCUGGAAGGCUCUGUGAUCUCAAACUGUGAAGUGCAUUUUAAACAGGAAGCAGGGAGAGAAUUCAAUGCAAUUCCAGCUUUUCAACUAGGGUGCUUCAUGGAAGACUUUCAGUUGAGGUGGAAACCAUGUGGAUGACAAAAAUAACAUCACCUUCCAUUGUAAUACAUUUUCUUUAUUAGGAUGAACCACAUAGAUGUGCUUCAAAAGUGAACGAACAAACGUAUUGGUUACACCACUCGUUCAGUCAUUCUGUUUUGUACAGAGUCAAAUUAAGCAACAUAUUAUGUUGAUAAAUUAAAUCCUUAUGUUCAACUCCAAUAGAUUCAGUAACAGAAAAGGAAAAUGAGUAUUUUUAAGUACAUAAGCAAUUGACUCCCCUUAGAUUUCUAUUUAUGAUCUAGGAUUUCGAAAUCCUCCACCUAAUUUUACAAGUUACACACAUCACUCAUUUUCCAGAAUGCCUAGAUCAAAUAUACUUAAUAACUGUGUGACCCUGGUCAAGUUACCUAACUUCUGCUUUCGUUUCCUCUUCUAUAAAAUAAGGAGAAUAGUAGUACUGACCUUCAAGGGUUGUUGUGAGGAUAAAAUGAGAUAUUUAUCAAGCACUUUAGGAACAAAUGCCAUCUAUUGUUAUUAUUAAAAUUAGGACACCAGCUAAUGAAUAUAUACAAUGAGUAUUAGGCUCUAAUGUGAAGAAGAUUUGAGCAAUGGAGAAAAUCAGAUGUAAAUCCCACCAGGUCAGAGAUUCUUCACUUAGGAUUCACAGAACUUCCCCCAAAGAAUCCAAGCAUAGAUUUCAGGUUGGCUGUGAAGUUGGCUGGGGGAAAAACAUUGCAAAUUUAUUUUCACUAGAUUCUACCUGAAAUUUGGCAUUUCCUUUCAUUAUGUAUGUAAGCAACAAACAUUAUUCUGGAACUCAAGGCAUACACAAAAAGGUCAAGAACUUCUUCAUCUCUGGCUUGAUGACUAUGGGGAAAGUCACUUAAUGCUCUAAAAUUCAGUUCCUCAUCUGUAAAAAUUUUGAAAAUAAUAAUAGCUAUGAAUCUCACAUGAUGAGAUUAUAUAUAAAGCAAUUUGCAAACUUUAAAGUACUUUUCAAGUCAAUUAUUAUUAUCAUUCCAUCCAAGAAGACUGAUGAAUAGGAAUGUGUUAACUUUGAAGCCAAUUUGGAGAAAGGCAAUUGAUCUCCAAAUUCAACUGAAGGUAGCCUCACUUCAAAAAAAAAAAGAAAAAAGAAGGGUGGGUCCAUUAGUGUUGUUUUUUUUUUCAUGAAUCUCAUGCUAGAUCACAGAAUCAGGAGUCUAGAUCUCAGAGUAACUUCAGAGAUCAUGAGAUAAUGGAGUUGGAAGGGAUUUCAGACACCAUUGUUUUCAAUCUCAUUUUUCAGAUGGGGAAACUGAGGCUGAGAAAAGGGAAGUAACUUGCUCCAAGUCACACAGAUAGUUAACUGGCAGAACUGGGAUUGGAUCCCAUGUCCUGAAGGAAGAAGUGGGAUUUUAGAACCCCAGGUCUGAUAUUCCCCAUUCAUAGCCAAAGCAAAAUUUGAGAGUUGGGUUCCAUUAGAUGAGUUGGAUUUUUUUCCCCCAAAAGCAAAACAAGCAAAUGUACCAUCCUCCUUGAGAGCUAUACUAAAGUGAAAGUUGAUUUUACUAGGAACCCCCCAAAAUCUACUUGUGUGAUGGAGCUUCCCCCUCUCCUGGAAGUUAAUUUUAAAAGAAUGCUUUCUCCAUUGUCAUGGUAACCACCUACUGCUCUGAGAGCUCCUAGAAUCUAGCUGCUCUGGAGUGUGCUUUUAUCUUACUUUCUCUGGGCUGAUGGAAAUUUUAUGACUACCUUCUGUGCGUUCUAGGCAUGACUUCUCACUGUGGAGCAGUCAAGUCUUGCCGUGGUCUUUGUGGCAGAAGUGUUUCAUGCAUGGCAGGCAGUGGGCCUAAAGCUUUGUUAUGGUGAAACUCAUUGAAAAUGUUGAUUAUUUCUCACAGCAGAGGAAGACAAGUAUUUUGAAAGAGUGAAGUAAAGAAAGAGAAUGAACCCUGAUUUCCAAAUUGCUUGAGACUGAGGAUGCUUGGGAAGUAACCAAGGAAGUUCUCCUCAAGAUGAAGUGAGAGAAAGAAAAGUAUCUUCUGAUAGCCAUUGAAUUCACCAAUGUUGGGCCAUCUUUCAUGAUCGAUUUCUGCACUCUCUUGGGGUUCUGUUAGCAAUCUAGCAGUGCCUGGAUCUUUGAAUCUGGUGGGUUUUGUCCCAAUGAUAAAAGGUCUCUGUACCUAUUGGCCAUUUCAGAGGAGUCUUCUACUAAAGUUUCAUUCUUAACCUGUAGUAGUUCCAGAGACAGAGAGAUACACUGAUUCAUUGAAGUGUCUAACUAGACAGACACUUGGAACAAUAAUUCAGUCUGGGGAGAGAAUCUGAAGCAAAUACUCCAAAAGUACAGGGUUAAAUUUAGAUCUACGUAUGCCUGGUGAUGCUGAUGGGUUAGGCUGGGCCCCUUCCACCUUCCCCAACCCUCCAACCAAGGAAAGAGGGAAUGUAGCUAGAGAUGGCUAGAAUGACUCAUAAAUAUCCAUGAUUAUCCCUUGUCUCCAAAUGAUUCUACCAAAUAUCAUAUUUAGCCUUAUCUGAGUCCUCAGGAUUGGUUUUCUUGAAAGGAUUUGGAGGUUGUCUGCCUUACACUGGUGCAUUUCAAAGAAUCCUAUCUCCUUUCAGUGACUACCUCAAUCUAAAACCCUAUAGCCUCCAAUAUCUUCACCCAUCUAAGAGUCAGUUAUGAUUGGAUAAAGCUGAUUUCCUCAGAAUCUUUCUACAAAAAGAUUAAUUUCCCUAAACCAGAAAAAGACAAGGAGCCAAAGAGUAGCAAUAAGGUAGAAUGCCUAUGGCACCUUGAACCCUUCCUGUAUGAGUAAGUAUGUCCACUAGUGGUUUAUAAGCUUCCAAUAAACCCUGGAGUUACAGCAACUUUCUGUGAGGGUUUGUUUCUCUUCUUUGAAAA